rnacentral:rRNA from 1 species
UACGGAGGGUGCAAGCGUUAUCCGGAUUCACUGGGCUUAAAGGGAGCGCAGGCGGAUUAGUAAGUCAGUGGUGAAAGCCUUAAGCUUAACUUGGGAACUGCCAUUGAUACUAUUAGUCUUGAAUGUUGUUGAGGUUUGCGGAAUGGGUCAUGUAGCGGUGAAAUGCAUAGAUAUGACCCGGAACACCUAUUGCGAAGGCAGCAGGCUAAACAAAUAUUGACGCUGAGGCUCGAAAGCGUGGGGAUCAAACAGG